rnacentral:rRNA from 1 species
GUCUAUGGCCAUGCCACCCUGAACAAACCUGAUCCCAUCUGAUCUCGGAAGCUAAGCAAGGUCGGGCCUGGUUAGUACUUGGAUGGGAGACCACCUAGGAAGACCAGGUGCUGUAGUCA